CAAGCGAGCCAAAACUAUAAGAAAAACGAAGAAAGAAAACAAAAUGUCAUUAGAUAUAAUACAACACCAUCUUCAUCAUUCUACAGCUGCGCCAAACCGUUAGGCGACACAACUACCGGCUAGGUCUGUGUCCGAACGCCGAGUGGCGCCACCAGCCUUCAGCCCUAGAGCCAGCGGAAGAGCGAGGAACGCAGCAGGCGCCGGAGGGAGAAAGGAACAUCGGCAACCGCAGCGCCACACGCCGACCGAAAGACGACGACCGGCGCCAAAACACGCGCGCGGCGCACUGGAGGAGCACGGUGUACGAGCGAGGUUUCCCCACCACGCACGGGCGGCGGGCCACUCCGGGCGCGGAGAGGCGGCGUGCGCUAUGCGAGUGACGUGCAGCAGCAGCAUCAGCAGCAGCGCGGGCCGCAACCUCGGCCGCCGUCGGAACACGGAGUCCAAGCACAGAUGGAGAGAGCGGCAACGAAGCAAGGAGGAACAACAUCGCGGAAUGCCAGUAAGAUGCGCAUCCCCGAGACAAGGAUGACAAUAGGACAUCGCUGGCUGCUGAAAAGCCGCGACCAAGGAUAAAGCACGCAGUGAAGACGUCACAAACGGCCUGGAAGUCAGGCCGCGAGUUCGAGUCGAGGUGCUUUGGAGAGUGACGUCACCUGAAGAGACAGCGUCGCAAGCCUCACACGCAGUUCUACUGCCGCCCUAAUUCGUCAAUACCUGAAAUCGAUGCGUGUGCCUGAAUAGACAAGGAAGAUCCGUCGCUAUAACCAGUGAACGGAGUAUCCAAGGGAGCAUCGGUGCAGCUGAGCACUAUAUAUGGUGUAGCGGAAACCGCCAUCAACACCCACUAGAGACACCAAGCUUUUCACGUCCUGGGACAUGAGCGGGAGACAGCCAAAAGGAUAAUCCUCGAAAGUGCUUUCCGAUGUUCGCGUGUACCGAGACUUUCGGAGAAGAUCACUGUGAUUGGCCACCUGUCACGUGACUGGCCACACCAAACCCACACCAAACAGUCACGAUGGUGGCACAAAGUUUACGUGUCCCGAGUCGCAAGAAAAUCACUGCACCACCAGGACGUUCACGAAGCAGACGCAAGCCACAGCAAAUGCUCUCACUUGACAUCGCUGUCCACUCCUUGUAAAGGAGCUCUCCUAGCUACGCGGCCCAUUGUACUAACGCUCCGCGGACAUCAAUCGAUAAGGUCAAAGAAAUACAACAAUGUUGUCCUCGUACGUGCACGUGACGUUUCAAGAGAAAGACCUCGCAGAUCGCCGCAGCACCGUUUUCAACAAGGUCAUCCUAAAUCACAACGGUCAACCCUAUCGGCCGAUACGUCUGAGGUCUGACUUCAAGGAAGCGCAGUUGUCAGCAAGAGAUCGAAAGACAGCAACAAAACAAAGAUGGCGGUUCUCACAGCACUUCAGUCUUCAGAAAGGCUUCCAUCCACGACUGCCGGGUCUACGAAGGGUCGCGUACUGACGGGUUGACAGAAGGCACGUGGAAUCACACAGCCCAACCCCGCCACGAAAUUUUGCGUCCGGGGCACAACUUCGCAGCUGCCGCCGACAUCACGCCAGCACGUUACGCACCGGUGACGUCACACUGUUCGUAAGAGACUCCGGCUGCGCGUCCAGAAAGCCGUAUUCUCGCAAUAACAGUUCCACGGGUGCAUAAUCAGCGAAGAAAGGCCGACGUUUCAGAUGGCUUCGUCCCUGGUGGCGGUGGCCCACAACAUUCGAGAAGGCAGGAGGAGGCAUCGCACUCGACGACUCGCUGCCGUCAAAACAACGCCUACAAAGUGUUCGUGAACCGUCGUCGGGCACUCGGCGGCGGGCCAAACGGGCGUGUGACGUCAAGCGAGUGACGUCAAAGAUACGAGACACCAGACGGCGCGAAAGCAGACGACCCGACGCCCACGGAAGCAGACGACGUAGAAGUGACCGAUGCAGAAGAAACGCGGUAAAAAAUAAGAAAGAAAAACGUGGGGCGAAGCCUUUAAAGGGACACUACAGUGAGACAAUAAAUCGGUUUAUUCUGAUAAA
rnacentral:misc_RNA from 1 species